rnacentral:rRNA from 1 species
GACGAACGCUGGCGGCGUGCUUAACACAUGCAAGUCGAGCGGUAAGGCCCUUUCGGGGUACGACGAGCGGCGAACGGGUGAGUAACACGUGGGUGACCUGCCCUCAGCUCUGGGAUAAGCCUGGGAAACCGGGUCUAAUACCGGAUAUGACUCCAUGACGCAUGUUGUGGGGUGGAAAGCCUUGUGCGGCUGAGGAUGGGCCCGCGGCCUAUCAGCUUGUUGGUGGGGUGAGGCCUACCAAGGCGACGACGGGUAGCCGGCCUGAGAGGGCGACCGGCCACACUGGGACUGAGACACGGCCCAGACUCCUACGGGAGGCAGCAGUGGGGAAUCUUGCGCAAUGGGCGAAAGCCUGACGCAGCGACGCCGCGUGAGGGAUGACGGCCU